rnacentral:rRNA from 1 species
GACGAACGCUGGCGGCGUGCUUAACACAUGCAAGUCGAACGGACAGGCCUUUUCGGUGGUACUCGAGUGGCGGACGCGUGCGUAACACGUGGGUGAUCUGCACUGCACUCUGGGACAAGCCUGGGAAACUGGGUCUAAUACUGGAUAGGACCGAUCUUUUGUGUGUGUGGUGGCAAGUUUUGUCGGUGUAGGUUGAGCCCGCGGCCUAUCAGCUUGUUGGUGGGGUAAUGGCCUACCAAGGCGGGGACGGGUAGCCGGACAGUGCGGUUGAUCGGCGACAUUGGGACUUAGAGACGGCCCAGACACCGACGGGAGGCAGCAGGGGGGAAGAUUGCACGAGGGGCGCCAGCCUGAUGCAGAAACGCCGCGGGGGGGAUGACGGCCUUCGGGUUGUAAAAUCCAUUCGCCAGGAACGAAGCGUUUUGUGACGGUACCUGGAGAAGAAGCACCGGCUAACUACGUG